UAAAAAAAAGUAAAAAGAUACAGUAUGACUCUCUCAAUCUUUCUCUCUCCCAUUUCUCCUCAUCGCGAUUGUCUCUUCCAUUUCUCUGAUUGUCUCCGAUUGUCUCUUCCGUUUUUCCAAUCACCCUCAUGGAUUUCUAGCAAUCAUUGUCGCGAUCUCAAUCUCUCAUCAACAUGGAUAGUUCACUUUUGGGCACCAACAUUAAAUGGGUCAUCAACAUAGCUAAUGUUGUCGACUUCUCUAAACCACCUGAAAUCUUUCGUAUCCUCAACAAAUAGAAUUUUCCAUCAACUGGACUGCAAAACUACCAAAUGUCUCCUCUACUACUUCUCCGAACAUAACCGCAUCGAGCAUUCCAGUAUCAUCUUCUAGUUGCACUUAUGCCCUAGCACUUAAAAUGUAUUUAAGCAUAUUAGGUUUAAUGUAAAUAUUUGUUUUUUAAAAUUUAUAAUUUAUUUACAAAUUUAAAUAAAAACUACUCACUGUGGUGUGGGGGUGCCUCAUUGUUUGCAGUUUGGAUUUUCGCAAACAAUUGUUUCGUCAUACUUAUGUCGUAUUUUUCUAUGGCAUGUCGCACACGACAUGUAAUAGUACAUUUGGGCAGAAUUAAUUGUAUUUAUCUUUGCUUCUAUCCAAAAGUAUGCUUUCUACAUCAAAUAAGAAUUGUUCUUUGGAAAGUUAAACAUUGUACUUUGUUAUUAAAUUUAAAUAAAAAAGUAAUAUUUACCUC